AUGCAAUAAUAUCAUACAGUAACUACCAUAACUAACAGCCAUAGGGGGGACAUAAGCUAAAACACAAAUCAUCUAUAAGUAACCCUGCUCACCACACCCAACCCCGGAUGAGGCGUACGAAAAACUCUAGGAGCCCCUAUCCCACAACCCUGAUUCUAGACCUCCAGGCUUUCCUAUCGCGGGUCAUGUCCUCGGAAACCUGCAUUCUAGUCAUGUCCUGCCUAAUCACCUCUCCCCAAUACUUCUUAGGCCUCUCUCUGCCUCGCCGAUCGCCGACAAUAGCCAGCCGCUCACAACUCCUCACCGGGGCAUCAGGGCUUCUCCUCCGCACAUGCCCGAAUCACCUCAGCCUCGCUUCUCGCAUCUUN
rnacentral:lncRNA from 1 species